GACGAACGCUGGCGGCGUGCUUAACACAUGCAAGUCGAACGGAAAGGCCCUGCUUUUGUGGGGUGCUCGAGUGUCGAACGGGUGAGUAACACGUGAGUAACCUGCCCUUGACUUUGGGAUAACUUCAGGAAACUGGGGCUAAUACCGGAUAGGAGCUCCUGCUGCAUGGUGGGGGUUGGAACGUUUCGGCGGUUGGGGAUGGACUCGCGGCUUAUCAGCUUGUUGGUGGGGUAGUGGCUUACCAAGGCUUUGACGGGUAGCCGGCCUGAGAGGGUGACCGGCCACAUUGGGACUGAGAUACGGCCCAGACUCCUACGGGAGGCAGCAGUGGGGAAUAUUGCACAAUGGGCGGAAGCCUGAUGCAGCAACGCCGCGUGCGGGAUGACGGCCUUCGGGUUGUAAACCGCUUUCGCCUGUGACGAAGCGUGAGUGACGGUAAUGGGUAAAGAAGCACCGGCUAACUACGUG
rnacentral:rRNA from 1 species